UGAGGAAUCUUCCGCAAUGGACGAAAGUCUGACGGAGCGACGCCGCGUGAAGGAUGAAGGGUUUAUUCUUGUAAACUUCUUUUCUCUGGGAAGAUAAUGACGGUACCAGAGGAAUAAGGGACGGCAAACUACGUGCCAGCAGCCGCGGUAAUACGUAGGUCCCGAGCGUUAUCCGGAAUUACUGGGUGUAAAGCGUCUGUAGGUGGAACUAUAAGUCUUGUAUGAAAGACCGGGGCUCAACCCCGUGUUUAUGCAGGAGACUGUAGAUCUAGAAUGAGGGAGAGGCAAGCAGAAUUAUGAGAGUAGGGGUGCAAUCCGUAGAUACUCAUAAGAAUACCAAAAGCGAAGGCAGCUUGCUGGAACUCUAUUAACACUGAGAGACGAAAGCGUGGGGAGCGAAAAGG
rnacentral:rRNA from 1 species